AGAGUUUGAUCAUGGCUCAGGAUGAACGCUAGCUACAGGCUUAACACAUGCAAGUCGAGGGGAAACGAUAUUGGAAGCUUGCUUCCGAUAGGCGUCGACCGGCGCACGGGUGAGUAACGCGUAUCCAACCUGCCCACCACUUGGGGAUAACCUUGCGAAAGUAAGACUAAUACCCAAUGACGUCUCUAGAAGACAUCUGAAAGAGAUUAAAGAUUUAUCGGUGAUGGAUGGGGAUGCGUCUGAUUAGCUUGUUGGCGGGGUAACGGCCACAAGGCUACGAUCAGUAGGGGUUCUGAGAGGAAGGUCCCCCACAUUGGAACUGAGACACGGUCCAAACUGCUACGGGGAGCA
rnacentral:rRNA from 1 species